rnacentral:snRNA from 1 species
UGCCACGAUCCACUGAGA